CAGCGCUCUGUCGUCGCCGCCGCCUCCUUGUUCGUUGUUGUGAAUGCUAAUUAUGGUCUUGCUCUCCCCUUCCCUCUCCUCCAUUGUUGCUGCUCGUUUCUAGCCCAAGUUUCAUUGUCUCCUUCCCAAACAAUCCUCCUGAUCCAAAAAAGGAUAGUGCCGCAGUUCAGAAAUUCUUUGCCAAUAUGGAAGUCGCAUUCAGGGCGCAUCCACUUUGGAGCUGUUGUUCAGAAGAGGAGCUUAAAAGUGCUGGUGAAUUGCAGGGAGUGGAGACGUUUUUCACUGUAAUUCGGGCUUGUUGCGGGGUCGGAAUUAUUGGGUUUACCUUAUGGUAAUUUUCUUGAUGCUAGGUCUUCAAAGAAACCUGCAUUUUAGCAUCGUCUUUCUAGAGAACGGCAAAUUCAUUGGCAAUCGUCGUCGACUUCUCCGGUGAGGAUCACGUGCCACUGAUUACAGUUGAUGCUGCUCUUCUGCUACACUUUCUCAUAUUCUUUUUAGCAGUCUGUCUUGUGCUAUACAGUGCAGUAACAAUGAUGCUUGGAAAGCUGAAGUUUUCUUUACUCAGCCCUGUUGCUGACUGAUCUGCUCCUACUGACUGAUCUUCUGCUACGCUGCUGCUGCACUAGUGCAAUGUUGCUGCUGAUUGAUAUGUUGUUACGCUGUUGCUGCUGCACUAGUGCAAUGUUGCUGCUGCUGGAUUAUUGUUGUUGCUGCUGCUUGAUUUAUGUUGUUGAUGUAGCUUGAUUAUUGUUGUUGCUGAUGCUUGAUUAUUGUUGUUGCUGCUGCUUGAUUAUUGUUUUUUUUGUUUCUGGUUGCUGCACUUGUGUGAAUGUUCUAACCGCCACAUUUUGUAUGUUUUACUUGAUUCAGGAACUCCCUAGGUACCAUGAAUAAUAACCAAAAUUUGUUGGGCAUGAAUCAGAAUGUGGCAGUGAUCGAGUUAUUACUCCCGCAACAGGUCACGAAUCAUAAGGUCUACACUCCGAGGAUUGCGCCUUAUGCGAGGAAUUUGAUGUGGUUUGUGAGCAAUGGGCUAAGUUUUUUACCAACAAGUAUUUAUUAUUGGCUUUAGCGCGCUUGAUCGAGUUGGUUUAGUUGUUAUAGAAUAAAUUUUAUAUUAAAAUGUAUGUUUAUGUUGAAAUUGGAACAUAUAUUUAAAUGUAAUAUGUGCACUUUGGUUUUGGGAUAUAUAGUAUACAAAACUCCAGUUGUUGUUUUUA